CAUAUUUUUUUUUAAAAAUACCGAAAACAUGCAUUGUAAGAGGUCCUUGAAAGUGAGUCUGCAGAUCACGGAAUCAGUGAUCAGAGCAGUGCUGGGUGAAGUUAUCCACGCCAGUUCAGGAGCCUGUUGGGUAGUAAGUGUUCCUGAACCUGGUGGUGUGGCACCUAAGGCCUAAUGGCAGUAGCAAGAAGAGAGCAUGGUCUGGAUGGUGGGGUCUUUGAUGAUGGAUGUUUUCUCGUGGCGGCACUCCUUGUAAAUGGUCUCAAUGGGGGGGGUGGGGGGGGCGGGGGUUUCCUGGGAUGGUCUAACAGAAACACAAAAAGCUUCUGCAGAUGCUGGAAAUCAGGAGUAACACACCGUCCAUGAAGGGCCUUGGCCCAAAAUGUCAGCCAUACGGAUGCUGCCUGACCCACUGAGCUCCUCCUGCAUCUUAUGCCGAUCGCUCUAUCAACUGCACUUGAGGUUACUGAGUUCAGCUUUAACUUUUAACAGUGGCAUCUGUACACAAAAGCUAGACAAGGGAGCGUGCCUACGCGAGAACCUCAGCGGAUCAGGCAGGCACCUGCGCGGGGAAGCAGCUGUCAAAGUUUCAGACUGAAACCCUGUGGCAGCACCAGUUCCAAGCAAGCAAAUUUCAAAAAAAAAUCAGCUGACAGCAACGCCCAACAUCAAACUCCUGUGAUUCGCUCAAGCCCAGCGAAUGACCGAACCCAGUCUUUCAGCACCAACGACUUGCAGCUCGAGAGCAGUAGCGCAUUUAAAAAAUGGCUGCUGUUCUGCAAGCGCAAGGACAGGAGCUCUUGCACAAGAGAGGCGGCAGAGGCUGGGAAUCCAGAGCAGCACACUAACAUACAAUCAACAGGCAGGAGCACUUGCUGCAACAAUGCCCCAACAAAACGGGCACCAGACGGGUCAGAAGUGGAGAGAGUGAGCAGUUUCAAGUUCCUGGGUGUCAAUAUCUCCAAGGAUCUAACCUGGUCCCAGCAUAUCGAUGCAGCUACAAAGAAGGCAAGACAGUGGCUAUAUUUCAUUUGGAGUUCAAGGAGAUUUGGUUUGUCACCUAAAACACUCAAAAACUUCCAACAGGUUGUAAACUCAUUCAGCUCCAUCAUGGGCACCAGCCUGCGUAAUAUCCAGGACAUCUUCAAGGAGCAGAGUUUCAGAAAGGCAGAAUCCAUCAUUAAGGACCCCCACCACCCAGGACAUGCCCUCUACUCAUUGCUACCAUCAGGGAGGAGGUACAGGAGCCUGAAGACACACACUCAGCGAUUCAGGAACAGCUUCUUCCCCUCUGCCAUCAGGGAGGAGGUACAGGAGCCUGAAGACACACACUCAACGAUUCAGGAACAGCUUCUUCCCCUCUGCCAUCAGGGAGGAGGUACAGGAGCCUGAAGACACACACUCAACGAUUCAGGAACAGCUUCUUCCCCUCUGUCAUCAGGGAGAGGAGGUACAGGAGCCUGAAGACACACACUCAACGAUUCAAGAACAGCUUCUUCCCCUCUGCUGUCCGAUUUCUGAACAGACACUGAGACCAUGAACACCACCUCUGCCUUUUCAUUUCUGUUCCUGCACUACUUAUUUUAAACCUGAGGUAUUAACAGCCAACCAGGUACCAAAACGGCCGGAGCAGAGCGCGCAAGACCAGAAUGAGCCAGCGAGGCUGACGGCCACCUGCAGGAGAGGCGGCGAGCGGCAGCCAUCGCUGCUCAUCGAAGGAGGAAAGCAGUAUCAGCGGCUCCGCUUCCAGACCCAGCACAGUCCUCACUGCGGCCGUCAACGACGCUCACAGCUCAGGACUCGGCAGCCACUGACCAACAGGCAACUGAACGGCACAAACCUCAGACGGGGUGGACAACCAAUCAAUCAAAUCAAUAAAUCACAUCGACUGAGCCCGGAAUCAUUUACUGGCCAGACCGAUUUUCUGUCUUUGAGGUUACCGAGAAAGCAAGAUGUGCGUUCAUAGUUCUGCGGUAACAAUCAUGGAUACUGGCUUUGCAACUCCAACUCAAUUACUCAAGUUUGACUCUUCCCAGCUGCCUCUUUGGUCUUCAAACUGAUUUCCAGAUUAUCAGGCCUUUAGACAGUACGGUGACUGUUUUGCUGCCACGUGGCUUUUUUGAUGGUUUUCAACUGAAUACAGUAAAAAUGUCAGAAAAUAAAAAUAUUCAACCUGAAGAAGUAAUA